GUUAGAAUUUAGUUUUGAAGCUUCUAUAGAGAAAAGUAAUGAACAUUGCAACCAACAUUAAUCUUCCCCAUUCUCACAUAAGCAUUACAAAAGCAUCGCAAGUUACAAGAGCAUUACAAAAACCCAAUUUACAGAGGACUCUUGAGAUCAAUUUGGACACCACCACUUCAGGCGAUGUUGAGGCCUCGAUUGCCUCUGUGAAUGGAGACGAACUGGCUGGAAAACUGUUUGUCGAUGGUACUACAGCUUAAAGAACUACGAACCCUUUACAAAAGCGUUACAAAAAUCAUACCCAUUUUCUCUGUAUUUGACAACUACACACACACACACACACACACACACACAUGCAAUCUUUCUGACUCAAACGCAGACCACCCUGCCAGGAGCAGCUUCACGACCGGCAGCCUGAGCUCUAGCUCGCAUAGCAACAGCACGGUCCCGACCAAGCUGGCAGUUCCAGUUAUCCUCGUACUCCACCAUCCUGCCUCUAUAAUCUAUAUAGCUCGCCACUCGUCAGCUCCACUGCCACCACAUGCCCCGACGCCUCGUGCAGUAGCUUCAUCGGAAUCCCCAAACUCUGACUCAUUCUAAUUUCUCGCUAAAUUACUUAUUUUUCUUCAAAAUUUCCCCAAAAUCUGAAGUAGCAAUGCCCCUUCCGAGAGCGUUUUCGGAAGAUAGAGCAUUUCAACAACAUGGUUUCCAAGAUUUUCGACCCCGUUCAGGUAAGGGAACCGGAGACUGUUUCAAUUUAGCGCCGGUUGUUCCGAAAUUUAGGGCAAAAUGAUGGAAGGGAAAUUUGUGAGGAAAAAAU
rnacentral:lncRNA from 1 species